UUUAAAAAUCAAAACCAGAAGACCCUCUUCUUAGAGAUCUCAUCCACAUAUAUUUGAGGCUCAUUUUAACACUGUUGUCUAAAGAUAUGUUUUGCUUUGUUCUAACAAAGGGCCAGCGUUCGAGGUGGGAGCUUUAGUUUGAAACAGAAGUGGGAUGGGACUGGAAGGGGGUGACUGGAACAGAGAUAACCUGCUCUAACUCCUUCAGCGGCUUCUCUAUGUGACACAGACUCCUGCCGGUUCCUUAAAUCACCCAUCCAUCCUGUUUCUUCCCUUCUCCUCUAGCAUUUGAAGCUCAACUCUGGGUCAUCUGGCCAGGCUAAAACCCCUGCAUCACCCCCACAUGUCGGCUCACUGAGCCAUUGUCUGUUGCGGUACCCUGGAGUUGCUAGUUGCUACGGUAACUCGGCAGGACCCUGCUGGAAGAGGUGGACUGGCCCCUACAUGCUAAAGUGGGGAGGAGGGCAGCAGCAUCCAAUCCUUCCUUCCCACCUCGGGGCCUGGGGGCCUUGUUCCUGCUCAAAGCAGCCAACACACGACUAAGCAAAGACGGCAUGUCUCAAGGACACCAGGCCAAGGUAGGGAGUGGUGAGGGGAGGGCCGUCUGUUCUAAAACACAAAAUCAUUGGUUUCCAAAUGGAAACAAGAUUAUUUGAGGUAAGCUAGCUUUUCAUUUUAAAGAACAGAAGGUCUAGCAAGCCAACAAGCUAACGAGAACGUUGGGGAGGGAGAGGGAAGGAGGCGAGAAGAUGAGCAGGUGUAUCCCAUCUUCAUCCUGUGCCUGGAUGGCGACUGACCUCUGUGCACGAAAGCAUUCCUUAGUCCUGUUUGGUGAAGUGGUCUCAGUUUCUUAAGUGCCCUUUGGGUUGCUCUUUAACUGUAUCCUCUGUUUUAAAUUCUACUCUUGUAAGGGAGCCCUUCCAAAAUGUGCUUGAGUCAAAAGAUCAAAGAUACUAACAAAGGAAGUUCUAAUUCCACAUAAAGAAAUUGGUGGAAGAUGAGCUGCAUAGACCAAGUCUACUUACUUUUGCAAUCCUGGCAGAGGGAAAACUUGGGUCUUCCCAUGACCCAUCCCUAACACAGCCUCCCUAAAGUCUGAGGAAAGCUAAUAAGAGAUGUAUAGGAUUCAGCAGUACCAGGGGCAGCCCAGAGAGCCAAGCAUAGACAUCAAAGGGGGUGAGGUUCCCCCAACCCAGGAUUUUCAGCCUACCUCACUACCUCUGCCAAUACAAACAGAAAGUUCUUUUUGUAUAUGAAGGAUUUUGUUUCGUUUUGUUUAACUUUGCUUUGCUUUGCUUUCUGGUAGUCACCAGUCUACUCAAGGAAUUUAAUUGGGAUCCUAAUGAGUAUGUAUUUCUUUUACAACCCAAAAAUUCUAUGUAUUUUUACAACUUGGAUACUCCCUCUAAUAAAAAAAUAAUUUUAUGGGGGAGCAAAAAUUUAUAGUAUUAAAAAACCUCUCUCUUGCAUGUCUGAAACUUUUACUACAGUGGAUUACCUUCCAAAUGAGAGGAGUGGUCAUUUAGGUUUCCUGUCGAGAGCAUGCCACCCUCAGCACCAUGAGGAGAGGUUUGCAGAGUGUCCCAGCCUCUCUCGAGAGCUGUGUCAGUGUUACCUGGGGCUGUGUCUCAGUCCCCCGUUCUAUAAAACAAGGCUCUUGUUUCCUAUACAGAGAAUGCCUGUAGGGUGAGGUGGCGGGAGGAGGGAGGAGAAAGACUCCAUCUGUCAAAUGUGUGGGGAAGCACCAGGAAUAGCAGCAGCCAUGCGAGAUGCCACCCCUAGCAUUGUCCUCAUCCAGGGAAUGUCCUGACCCAUUUUUUUUUUCCUUUAGUGUGGGAGGCUCUUCCUGUCCUCUGAGGUUCUCCUCAUCCC
ensembl:lncRNA